AACUAGGAACCGUGAAGUUGCAGGUUCGAUCCCUGGCUUCACUAAGUGGGUUGAGAAUCCGGGAUUGCUGUGAGCUGUGGCGUAGGUCACAGACAUGGCUUGGAUCCUGCCUUGCUGUGGCUGUGGUGUAGGCCGGCAGCUGUAGCUCCAAUUAGACCCCUAGCCAGGGAAGCUCCAUAUGCUGUGGAUGCAGCCCUAAAAAGACAAAAAGACAAAAAAAAAAAAAAAAAAAAAAAAAAAAAAAAAAAAAAAAGAGAACCAANAAGGUAUCCAAAUUGAAAGGAAAGAGGUAACUGUCACUAUUUGUAAAUGACAUGUUACUCUAUAUAGAGAGUCCUAAAGUCUCUACCACAAAACUAUCAGAAUAAAUGAAUUUAGCAAGGUAGCAGGAUAGAAGAUUAAUAUGCAGAAAUUUGUUACAUUUCUUUUUUUUUUUUUUUCUUUCUUUUUUUAGGACCACACCUGUGGCACAUGGAGUUUCCUGGCUAGGGGUCAAAUUGGAGCAGCAAUUGUCUAAACCACAUCCAUAGCAAUGCAGAAUCUGAGCCUCAUCUUCAACCUACACCAUAGCUCAUGGCAACGUGGGAUCCUUAACCCACUGAUCAAAGCCAGGGAUCAAACCCAAAUCCUCAUGGUUACUAGUCGAGUUCAUUAUCACUGAGCACAACAGGAACUCCUGUUAAGCCUAUUUUAAAGGUACGGCCAGCUCAGUAAAUAUGAAAAAGAUUGUAUUUACUUUUUCCUCCUCCCUUGCCUCACUUGCCUUUUCCUUUCACUCUUGCCUCCCUGGGACUGAAUCUCCAAUGAAGAAUUAGCAGGAGUUCCCGUCGUGGCACAGUGGUUGACCAAUCCGACUAGGAACCAUGAGGUUUCGGGUUCAGUCCCUGCCCUUGCUCAGUGGGUUAAUGAUCCGGCAUUGCCGUGAGCUAUGGUGUAGGUUGCAGACACGGCUCGGAUCCAGUGUUGCUGUGGCUCUGGCAUAGGCCGGGGCCUACAGCUCCGCUUCAACCCCUAGCCUGGGAACCUCCCUAUGCCGAGGGAGUGGCCCAAGAAAAAGCAAAAAAAAAAAGAAUUAGCAGAAAGUUUUGCUUCUUGUUGUUUUCUAAGAAAUUCGAGUUACAAAAAUAGCCCUAUAUACUCUCCAAGUCGUUGAACUUAGAAAGGGAAACAUAAAUAUGUAGGUAGGCAGAGAAAAGUUUUGAAAGAUAGCUGCUCUUCACUAUAUAGACCUUCUGAUUAGCCAUAUGGCGUCUGAUCAUUUUUAUUUAUCACUUAGUUUAUACGGGCAAUCCAGUGUCCAUGAGCAAUUCUUUUAAUAUUGCAAGUACUAAAUAUUCUAGUCCCUGUACUGGAAUAAAAAAAUGAUUGACAUUCUGUUUUGGAAAAUAUUUUAAAAAGAUGAUCUUGACCAUCAAUGAUAAAGUUUGUGUUGUAGAAUUAAUUUAGCAAUGGACUUGUGAAAUGCUGAUUUAUUCCUCAAACCUUGAAGCACUGAGUAUCUUAGAAGAUUCAGAGCAGGUUCAUGGAUUUUCAUCAACAGAGGCAAGAACUAAGGAUAUCUUGGUGUUAACUUGAGCUCUGAGUUUCCCUGGCUUUCUGCUUUAACAGAGCCUUAAUGAGUUGUUGUUCAGGCAGCACACAGCUGAAAGCACUGCUUUUAAUUUAACUUUUUUUCCCCCCUGGGAAAACCUAAUCAAAUAUGUUGAGUAAUUUUCUUUCUGUGCAAUAAUUACAUUUGUUACUCUCUUGCAUGAUAUGCUGUGUAACACAGAUAGAGACGUACAUACUAGUGGGAGUGGUUCCCUCAGGGGAAUGAACAUGGGGAAAAGAUCCUUGCAGGCUCUAGGUGCAGGCUUGAGACUGUUUGGUCAGAAUCUUCUGUGGUCCUAGGAAUCCCAAGUGUCAUCUAUAAGGGUAGGAGGUACUGGGUCUUUGUGGGCAUAUCCCUUGUCUUGUGGACCUUGCCUUGUAAGGAGAGAUGAAUGAAUGCAGAAACGGUAGGUGGAACCCUCUAGAGUACAGGACUUAGGGCAGAGCUUAGAUCUAGGUGUAGAAUGGGACCUAGCAUAAUCAAGGAGCAAAAAGACUGAUGAAGCUAGAAGGAGGUAAGCAUGGAAAGCUGCAGUAAUAAGUUGAUUGAUUGUCUAAAUUUUGAAGACCAUAGAAAGUCUUUUGAAUUUCUGUUUUAUUGGUGUCCUGUUUACAAGUCAGACUGUACUUAAGUCUACAGAGCCUUAAGUAUGAGUUGUUUGGGGAUUAUCUGGAAAGCUUUUGGACAGGAGACUUUCUGAAAAAAGGGAUUUGAGAUUUCAUCUAGUUUGUGGUCAGAGGUCAAAGUAGGCCAAAAUAUUCAGAUGGAGCCACAGUGAUAUCACAGCUCUGAGAAAGGAUCUUUUCUAUAAUAUUAUUCAUUGAUGCACUCCCCUGGGCCUGGAACUGGAAAGAGGACUUGUUUCAAGUCACAUGAGAAACUGGCGGGGGUUAGAAGGCUGCACACUUUGCUGCGAAGCUGAUAAACCUGCCCAUGUGUACUUUUAUGUUUCAUGGUGUUUUGGUUUCAUUUAUGAACACUCUUAAGUUUCUUUACAGCUAUGCCUUGGACACCUUUUCUUUUGUUCUCUACCUUCCUUUAAACUGUUUCUGCGAUUCUCAAGUCUUUGUUCUGAAGUCCUAACCUCAGCCUUUAGAGUUUGUAUUAUCUUUUUGUCUUGCCAGCUUUCCAAUUUAAACUUUCCCUAUUGGAUUCUGACUUAACUGGCCCAUCUGACAUCCUGCUGCCACAUGGCAAACACUGACCACUUGGAAUUUAUCUUCUACCCUGGCUAGAAUAACCUCUGCCUCCCAGCAGGGAGAAAAAGAGCAUUUUGUUAUGAAUCACUGGAUUCAGAGCACCUACUUUGUUACUCUGGCAACAAGGCAAUGACUGCUUUUUUAUAGUCCAUGGACCUGGGCAAGAUGACACUACAGAAGGAAAAUUCAGAGUCCAAAGGACAAGUUUCUGGUGGAGAUUAGAAUAUAGAUACAGACCCUGAUUCACAGAUACUGAGUCUAGCAGCUGCUGUGGGCAGCUAAUCCUUCCCUAUUCACCCAUCCAGAGAAAUUUAGAGGCAAUUUAGCAGAACUCUCUAAGACUAGGCAGUCAUAAUGAUUAAUGAAUAUCCAGAGCUUUGGUUGGAAAUUGGUGAGGGAUUGGGGUGGGGAAUGCUAUUGGGUGAAAACUGAUUGCAUUUCUGACAUACUGCAUUUUAGGAGAUGUGGAAAGUGAUAGCUUUGAUUCAGAAGCUCAGCAUUCAUUUUUAGGGGGAAGGGGGAGCAACGAUGUUCCAUCCACAGGAACUGAUGGACAUUGCUCACCUAGCAGGAGAAAGAAUUGUCAUCUCUAGAGCUUUAUGGGCUCUCUGAGAGAAAUGAUCCAAACUUCCACCACGUUCAGCCACAGCCUCAAGAAUUUCUUAUGCAGUAAGCUAGCUCUGGUCACCAGGCUUGAGCCUCCCAAUGUUAAUAAGCCUCUGUAUAAGGUUAGAGAUGGAAAUAGCACAUACCUCUUUCUCUUAGGUGAUAACAGAGCCACUCCUCAAGGUACAUGCAUGUGUGUUUGCCUCUCUCCCUCUGUUUGCCACCUCCCCCAAACGGGACACCUAUAUCCCUAUAAAGUGUUGUGCUCAUUUUUAUGCAGAUUGCAUUAUUCAUGGUCUGUGUCCAAAAGGCACUUGGUUAAAGAUCAUCUGUUGCACAAAAAGUAUAGAUUAAUUUUAAGGAUUUGUUAUUAGUAGCAGUAGUUGGAAACACCUUCCUUGGAUAAGUGUGCUCUUUUCUGCAGAGAGACCCUUUGGGAGUUUGCUGCACACAGUGCUUGCACUACAGAGAUACCCCUGGGCCAUUCUUGGUAAUAGUAGCUGAUGUUUAAGAGCAGCAGCCAGACUUCUGACAUUUGGGAGACAGCAGAAUAGCUGAGAGCCUGGCUCUGAGUCAGAUGCACCUGGAUUCAAGUUUCUUCUCUGCUGUUUGCGUGCUUCAAAGACUUGGGCAAGUUCUUUUAGUCUCUUUUCCUCAAGUUUCCUGUUUUGUGGGGUGGGGUGGGCAGGCAUGCCCCUGGCAUGUAGAAGUUCCUGAGCCAAGGAUUGAACCUGUGCCACUGUAGCGACCCCAGCUGCUUCAGUGACAAUGGCAGAUCCUUAACCUGCAAGAGAACUCCAAGUUUCCCAUUUUUGAAAUGAAUUAAUUUCUUCCUUAAAGGACUUUAGUGAGGAUUAAAGAAGGUAAUAGAAAGUCCUUAGCACAUAGGAAGUGCUCAAAUGCAUGAUAUCAAGGUUUACUGGACUUAAAAAAAAUUACUGUUCUGAUACUUAUGAAUGCUCUUUAACUAUUUGCAGGACAUUACUUAUAGGUAAAAAUGUUAAUUACUGAAGUAUCAUAAAAAGAAGCCUGUUUUGUCUUGAUAUUUUCAAAUCAUGGUUUUUUCCCCUAGAAAAAAACUUGCAGUGUAGAAAUAUUUCUGUGCACUAGAAAGUUGGAAGUCUUGUUUUGCUAAGGUCCCCCCAAAAGAAUAAAUAUGAUUUGGCUAGCUUGCACAUAAACAAUGAGCUAUAUAGCUCACUUAGUUAUGACAUCUUCCCAGAGUUAACUAGACUUUCAGCUUCACUGAGAAGACUGUAUGAGUCAUUUUCUCCACUUGUUCCCAAUAUGUACAUGUAUGCAUGUGCAUGCUUGCACAUGCACACACACACACACACACAAACACACACACAGAUUAUACUAAAAUGACUAAAGUACAGUUUAAUAAUCUGAAUUUAGGUAAACUUAAUUCUUCUGAACUCACUUUGUCACCUAUGCUUUAGUGGUUUCCAUGAUCAAAAUGCUCAAAGAAGCUAAAAUUAAACUUCCUUCUGACUUUUACUUGUUCUCUUACAUUUUUUUUCCUUUUGUCUUUUUAGGGCCGCAACCACAGCGUAUGGAGGUUCCCAGGCUAGGGUUCAAAUCGGAGCUGUAGCCACCAGCCUACAUCACAGCCAUGGCAACAUGGGAUCCAGGCUGCGUCUGUGACCUUCACCACAGCUCAUGGCAAUGCCAGAUUCUAAAUCCACUGAGCGAGGCUGAGGAUCAAACCUCUGUCAUGGUACUAGUCAGAUUAAUUUCCACUGAGCCACUACUGUAACUCCUGUUUCUUACAAUGAUUGAUUGAUUAAUUUUGCUUUUUAGGACUGCACCAUGGCAUAUGGAGGUUCCCAGGCUAGGGGUCAAAUUGGAGCUACAGCUGCUGGCCUGUGCCACAGCAAUGCAAGAUCUGAGCCACGUCUGCAGUGUACACUACAGCCCAAAGCAAUGCCAGAUCCUUAACCCACUGAUUCAGACCAGGGAGUGAACCUGCAACAUCAUGGUUCCUAGUCAGAUUCAUUUCCACUGCACCACGAUGGGAACUCCUGUUCUCUUACGUUUUUUUAAGUGAGUGAGACACAACACCUUUGCUUUGACCCUGUAGGAAGCAAUGAAUGUAUUGGUCAGUGGCCUCAGAAUCCUAUAAGAUCUAGCCAGAAGGAAGGGAAUGUGUUUAUUUAUCUCUAGAAUGAUCAGAAGGCUAUAUAAGAAAGCUCUCAAAAAUGGCACACAAUUUUUCCUCAUCAGAUGAAGCUAACAGUCCCAAAACACACUAAUAUACCUCUCUUAUUUGAGAGGUGCACAGACUGUCCCCCUGUUGGAAUGCCAGAAUUCCAAUUGUUCAUGUGUAGAAAUGAGUUAUGUGAAACUCAGAAUGCAUUCUCCAUAGAAACCAUACUGUACAUGGUGGUUGGCUAUAUUUAACCCAGAGUUACAACAGAACUGGGAUUUGGCCAUUUGGUGCCAAUAUUUUUACAGAAGAUAUGUUCAGGGAUCCAACUAAGGAUUCCAGUAAUGGAGACUCUUCCCUCCUUUCCAUCCCCCACUUCUGGGCCUCUUAGGUUUGCUUAGGGCAGAGAGUCUUCUUAAGAACUGAUUGAGAGGAAGCUAAUAUGAAGUGUGGACCUGGAGGCUUUCAGAGUGUGGGGACAGGAGGAUGAUGGCGCUGUGAGAAGCUGAGAAUUCUUUCUUGCUCAGCUUCAGAGUAGCUCCUGAUACUCUUUCUUUCUUUUCCUUUCUUUUCAUCUACUAACUGCAAUAAUUGAUAAACUUCUUCCUCCACAGCCACAAGUAGCCUCUUCCUUCAGAGAAGGAUUUCUCUUCUCAUUUGUAUUAGAACAAAGAGUUCUCUCUACUUGUCUAGUCCUGAAGUGAAUACACAGAAUACAUGGAGUCAGAUACUCUAUGGAGUUAACAAAAAAAUUUCUUCUCAGUAUUAAAAGUAGAUUCAACAGGUUAAGUUCAAAACCCUAGUUAAUGGUAAGUCUUUUUCAACAUAAGAGCUGGUGUGAGGUUUAUCCACAUAUUGUGGGGAGUUAUAGAUUUAGGUUUAAUAAUAAUCGUUUCAUCAAGAUAUAUGACUGAUAGGAUUUCCCUUUGCGGCUCAGCGGUUACGAAUCUAACUAGUAUCCAUGAGAACGAGGGUUUAAUCCCUGGCCUUGCUCAGUGGGCCAAGGAUCCGGUGUUGCCACGAACUGUGGUAUAGGUUGCAGAUGGCUUGGAUCCCACAUUGCUGUGGCUGUGGUGUAGACUGGCAGCUGUAGCUUCAAUUAGAUCCGUGGCCUGGGAACUUCCAUAUGCCGCAGGUGCAGCCCUAAAAAAGCAGGAACAGAAAAAAAAAGAGAGAGAGAGAGAGAGAGAGAGAGAGAGAGAGAGAGAGAGAGAGAGAUGUGACCGAUAAAGGUUUAGGCAUGAAGAGCAUGAGUGUGGGUUUAUAUAGCACAAAAUGGGGCAAAAUGACAGUGUGAGUAGCACCCCCUAGUGUUGAAGAGAAGCUAUGAGUAGAAGGGAGGUACUAGGAGAAGGUGUGUUACAAAGUUUGUCUGCAUUCCUUUGCUCUAAAUCCAUUCCUGUAGGAGCAGAAUCCUCAGAUGCUGCUCAGAGGUUUCUAAGUAAAGCGCUUAAGGUAAUUCAAGAGACAGUAUCCAGCAAUGAAACCAAAACUAAGGUGUUAUCAAAAGAGACCAGGGAGAGUAGUGAAAUUCAGGUGGCUGGGAAGAAGACAGACAGUGGGGGAAGCUAUGGAUUCCUUGUGGAGCCUGGAGAGACUCACAGCUGCUAUCUGGUGGAACACUAUAAUCAGUUCCUUUUCUAGGUCUCUCAUGCUUUAGGAGAGAAGGAAACUUUUGAAGGCACUGAGUAGACUUGCAUAUCAUUCCUCAGGUCACCAUAAAUCCUGCCAGGGCUAAGGACAAGGGUGAGAAAUCUUUGAAGCAUUCUGGAAGCAGACAUCUGAGCAGGUAAAAUAAGCAGAAGUAAAAGCCACAAUGCUUAAUAACAAAGUAUAUGGCAGAAUUAGUCACUGGCUGCAUAGAUAUCCUUUAGUUUUGGAUGACUUCAUACAUCUCCUUGGUGUGGACUUAAAGUUUGCCUUUCUAACUGGUUACUCUGACUGUCAAAGUUGAUAUUUGUCAUCGUGCUGAUCCCAUUCUGUGUACAGGUUAGGUUUCACUUAUUGUCCCAGCCCUGCCUCCUUCCUGUCCGAUGGGUUUUGGUGAAAUGUGAGGAGGACCAACCCAGUCAGCUCCUGGACUUUCUUCCUACCUGUCAUAUUUAUUGAGCACUUACUGUAUACCAGAUAGUGUAUUAAAUGCUGGGCAUAUAAUAGUGGACAAAACUGACAAAAAUUUCUGCCCUUAUGGAGUUUACAUUCUAGUGGAAGAGGCAAACAAUAAACAAAUUUCAAAAAUAUAAUCUAUGAUACAUGGUGCUAAACCCAGAAACAGGGAUAUAUAUUGAACACAGGGGUGGCCCAAAGGGGUGACUUUGGUGUAAAAAUUUGAUGGAGAUUAUAUUUGCAUGCUAAGGGCAGUCAUAGCACAGACUGGGUGGCUUAAAUAGCAGAUAUUUUUUUUCUCUUAGUUCUGGAGACUGGAAGUCCAACAUUGAGGUGCUGGUAGGGUUGGUUUCUGGAGAGAAUUCUCUUUCUGGCUAGCAUAUGGCUCUGUCACUUAAUAGAUGUGUUUUUAAAUUUUUUUUAUUAUUUUAUUUAUUUAUUUAUUUAUUUUAGAGAUGCACCUGCAGCAUAUGGAGGUUCCCAGGCU
rnacentral:lncRNA from 1 species